ACGACCGCAGGAUAGAAAUACACAAACCUCAACCAAAACGCCACUCUAUAGAGAGACCUCAGGCCAGUCCAUUAGGGACUACAGCGGGGUGUCGCAGCUCAAGGAAGAACAUUUAUGAUCAUUUCUUUAUCAUUUCCUUGAAGUAAUAAUCAUCAUAUUAAUCAUUUUACAGACGCGGUAGUUCUUCUGUCUUAGCGUCUCGGUCUGAUUGUAUUUCCAUGAAGAAAUGAUCAUAAAUGUUCUUCCUUGAGCUGCGGCACCCCGCUGUAGUCUGUAAUGGACUGGCCUGAGGUCUCACUACAAACAAGCGUCUGCUGGAAGAGAGUAGGUGAGUUGUGUUUAGUCUCUUUGCUAAAGAAAUGAGUCAAAGUUAAAAAGAUGUUUGGUGUCUAGUACUAUGUCUGUGACCCUAUAUGUACUAACCUCAGUAGAACAUGGUGUAGUUCCGUUCAGUAACAGAACCUCAUUGGAAAAUUAGCUGAUUUAACUUUACUGUGCUCUUGUUCAAAUAUAUUAACUCGACAGCACAUAAAUCCAUACCUGUUAACAAAAUCAUGAUUUUAUUGAUAAUUCGGCUCAAUAAAAACACCUUUACCUUUUCAUUUUACUACAGUAGUUUAUUGGCCCAGCUUAUAGACUACAGAGGUGGAGAAACGCCCCCGCUUAAGUUUGUUUUCUUAGAACAACUCUGAAUAUAGAACUAUGUCUGUGACCCUAUAUGUCCUGUUGAUGAAGUUAGGUGCUGUUCUGAGCAUUAUUUGUGGCUAUAGAGUGGCGUUUUGGUUUAGGGCGUGGCUCUCUGUAUUACUAUCCUGCGGUCGUUACUAAAGUUGGUAUAACUAGAGAAGGAAGCGGUCGGCAACAUUCAUCUCUGGAGGGGGGGUCUAACUCGGUGUUACGGUGGGUUUGACCCUAAAUUAAUUUUACGCCUAUCCCUUUAAGACGCCCCCUCCCAUAAAGCCCACUUUCUUCUGAUUGUUCCGGAACACUACUCAAGAGAACACGUUGUCAUCACAACAUGACAUCAUAAAGGGAGGCAGAAUUCCGCAACUUUGUGACAUCAUCAAGUGUCCAGAGUUAGACAAGAAGAGAGUAGAAGCUGAUUUUUGGAGCUCUGGAAUCUGAUCAACUUUGUUUUUUGUUUUGUUUUUUUAUGAUUAGCUAAAAAUCCAAAAAGGGUUAAAUCCACCGCUCUUUAGCGUGAUCCCCGCCCAUAAAGGUCACAGCCCAGCCCCCAUCCAAGAAAGUCGGAGGAGGUGCUGUUCUGAGCAUUAUUUGUGGCUAUAGAGUGGCGUUUUGGUUGGGGGCGUGGCUCUCUGUAUUACUAUCCUGCGGUCGUUACUAAAGUUGGUAUAACUAGAGAAGCAAGCGGUCGACAACAUUCAUCUGUGGAGGGGGGGUCUAACUCGGUGUUACGGUGGGUUUGACCCUAAAUUCACCACCAGCACGUGUCUGUAACUGCGUCUCUCUCUCUUCUGUUGGUUUUCUCUUCGUCUCUUAAACUGA